GCUCCCAGGGCAAGCUUAAUUGAAGUCAAGAGAGUACUUUAGACUAAGGAAGAAAAUUAGGGCAACAGGAAAAAAAUGUGGUCCCCACUCUCUAUGUGUUCCGGAGAGUCUCCCUGCCUUUGCACACCUAGCAACACAGCUAGGCAAAGAGUGCACUGCACUGCUGACACAUACCUGAGUUUCAGAGCAGCAAAGCUGGAAGGCUUCAUUGGCUCAUGCAGCACAAUGUCUUAACUCAAGUGCGGGAGUGCCAAGAGGAAGGAGAGAGGCCACAGGCAGAGACUCUCAGGCUUGUAAACAAAGAGUGAUACAGAGAGAUUGCACUUCAGUUGCCACCAACUUAAAGGUAAGAGCCCAUUAAUGGAUUCCAGCAUCUUCUCCCAUUAGCCCUCUCCCCCAGCAGAUAGAUCUACAUGUUUGAAGAGUUAGAACAUUUCUGCUGUUUUUACGCUCCAUCUCACAUUUAGGUUUUCUUUCUCCUUUCGGGCUAUUUCUUUGUUAUGUGAGACAAUUUUGUUCUUUUUCUCUUGAGUGAGACUUUCAUUCCCUUUACCAUUCAGGUAUCUGCUUAGCCUGACUUAGCAGUACACAGUAUACUGCUGGGAGAUUGUGUGUCCAAGAGAAAGCAUCUCUUGCUUCCCUUUUCUCAUUAUUCUGCAAGAGUGGGUUUUAGAGUUUGGCACUUCUGGGUUCAGCUCUUGGCUCUGCUUCUUGCUGGGUUGGGUGGGUAACUUCACUCCCUUGAGUCUCCGCUAGAGUGAGCCAGGUUCAGGAACUCCGAGGCUCAGCUUGUAGAGCCCUCAGGUCCUGGUGAUGCUGUGAAUCUUCCGUGGAGCUUUGUUGAAGGUGACAUGGAGAGGGCCACCGACACAGGAGGAACUGGAGACAACUGGAGGUGAUGGUGGCCAAGGGCAGAAAGGCUGCCUUCUCAGUGUGAGGCUCUUCCACAGUCUGGGCAUCCCUUCCUCUAUGGCUGUGUACUGUGGAUGCAUCUAAGUUCCCAAUUUCCCUCCUCCUCUUUGUUUCUAUCCCGAGAGCUUCCUGGUGUGUAGGACUGAUGGACAGGGAUGUCCACAGUCAAACUGCAGACACUUUGAAUGCUGUUCAGAGUCCAGUGAAAGCACUCAUUCUUUUUUCCUGCCUUCCUGCCUUGUAACACAAUCACCCUGGGGAUAUACAGGGAGGAUGCUUUGACUCAGGGACCCUCUCCAUGGAAGCAAUGCACGCUCUGGCACUCUACUGGGCCUUGCUGUCCUUAGCAGCUUAUGCCUUUGAGUGGAGUUAGGAGUUAUGGGUACCUUUCUUUCCAUUCCCCAUUCUGAUCAGAGGGGAGAUGCUGAUAAAUACUGAUUGCAUGGCUGAUAAGUGGAAACCUUGGGUUCUACAUAUAGCUUUUGUGGCCUUGGGCAAACCACACUCUUCUUACUCCAUUUUUCUGUUUGUCCCAGGGUGAAAGUUCACCUUGAAUCUUAUGUGGGAUCCUCCAGAAUCUGGACAUGGGGCUGCAUGUCUGAGAGGUUCAUUAGGGAGGUACUGAUGCCAGGGCUAAGCAGGAACAGGAAGAGGUGGAGCCCAGCCAGGUUGUGAUUACAAGUGCAGACCUAGGGCUUGCUUCGUCCAGGUUGAUACCACAGGGAGCUCUGGAGAAUGAGCUCAUUUGUGUUUGUCUGAGACAAUGGGGAUGGACCCUUUGCAUUCCAGUGUGUCAGUCAACCUUAAGACUGGGGGUAGACUGAGACAAUGCAAAGUGGCCUCUGAGACCUGGAAGGAAGAAGUGCAAUUUUGGAAUGGAAACACAUCAAGACCUGGGUAUAAGAAGAGAAAAGGAGUUGGGUGGGGCGCUCCUUCAUUCCUACCAUUCUGCAUCAUCUACCCCGCUG
rnacentral:lncRNA from 1 species